UAUAAAUAUUAGAGAAUGUUCUGUCCUAUAAAGCACUUUUAAUAUUUUUUUUUCUUUUACAUUUUAUCGCAGAUAUUAUGUUUUUGACAAAUUCACGACAUUAAACGUGCAGUUAACAAUAUAAGAUACUGUAAAGGUCUUAAGCCAAGUUUAAAACCGUUUUAUGUUCAUGAAUUGUUGCUAUAUUAAUGUAACCAUCUAUGACUGAACCAAGAUUGCCAGAAUUGGCCCGGACUCCACAACCAGACUCGGGCCGGUGCUUUACAGCCGCAUCACGAACACAUGCGCGAGAGCGAGCUGCGGGACACACUCACCCCGGGUAACACUCACCUGAGCCGAGGGCAGCCGAGCUCGGGCCCGUUACUACAUGCUAUCUGGACACCCAUUUUUAAGGCUCUAAAAUACUGCUGCGAAGUUUCCCCUCCAUCCUCCCCACCACCACCAGGCUGGCCCUGUACAUGCGGGGGUAUGCUGCACUCUGCCUUCGUCUUCGGCAGGAAUAGCUGGAAUCUACAACGUCUGAUUCAAGCUACAGAUGGAGCCUACACCAAAAUAGUUCUGUUCUUUGUAUUGGUUUUGUAA
ensembl:lncRNA